rnacentral:tRNA from 1 species
AUAAGUAAGGUCUAAAAGAUAUUAAACUGUAAAUUUAAAGAUGGGUAAUCCUACUUAUA